rnacentral:lncRNA from 1 species
GCUGGACUCCAUCUCAAAACAAACAAACAAACAACAACAAAAAAAAAAACAAAUGAGACCAUGGGCUUGGAAAUGCCUUGAAAAAAUGUCAAGUGUGAUUCAGAGUGAGGAAGUAUUACUGUGGAAUAGUUACUGUAGCUAUUGUUACCGGUCGGCCAACUGCUCCUCUGCCUGCUAUAUCCUGACUUAACCUUGGUCUGUAUUUGCCGUACAACAAGGAGUUAACCAAAGAGAGAGACGCCCUCAGGCUGGAGUUAUACAAGAACAGUUCAUUCCUUUCUCUACUGCUUCUGGCCAUAACCGAAGCAAUGAGGACCUGAAGCAGGAGAAAUCAGAAUUGGAAGAGAAGCUUCAAGUCCUGGUGACUGAGAAGGCUGGCAUGCAGCUUAUUUUAGAAGAGCCGCAAAAGAAAUUACAAAUGAUGGCACUCCUGCUUCAACAGGCUAGGGGUUUUCAAGGCACUGUGAAGCCCCUGAUGCGAAACAGCAGUUACCGCAGGCCAUGGAGGAGCGGGCACAGCUGAAAGCACAUCUAGGGCAGGUAAUGGAGUCAGUUAGAUAACUACAAACGGAGAGAGAUACGUAUGCUGAAAAUCUGAAAGGAGGGAGGGCCAUGUGGUGUCAGAGGAAGCAACAGAUGUCGGAGCAGCAGGGCCCUCCAAGGUGGAGCAGCAGCUACAAGCAGAGGCUGACCACCUGCAGAAGGAGCUGGAGAGUCUGGCAGCUCCGAGCCCAGGAGCAAGACACUGAGGGCUUCAGUCACCCGAACCAGGAGUAGGAGGAGAGGCUGCUGGAGCUGGAGCAGGUGGCCGAGCUCUUGCGGGAGCAGGCAGAGUCACGCAGGCAAAUCCUGGAGACCAUGCAGAACAAAUGCACCACCAUCAGCCACGUGCUCACCCAGAACCACAAGCUCAAAGAGCAGCUGUCUCCGCUGCAGAACGGAU